GCUUACGGCCAUACCAGCCUGAAUACGCCCGAUCUCGUCCGAUCUCGGAAGCUAAGCAGGGUCGGGCCUGGUUAGUACUUGGAUGGGAGACCGCCUGGGAAUACCAGGUGCUGUAAGCA
ensembl:rRNA 5S_rRNA 5S ribosomal RNA